UCCUACGGGAGGCAGCAGUGAGGAAUAUUGGUCAAUGGACGCAAGUCUGAACCAGCCAUGCCGCGUGCAGGAAGACGGCUCUAUGAGUUGUAAACUGCUUUUGUACGAGGGUAAACUCACCUACGUGUAGGUGACUGAAAGUAUCGUACGAAUAAGGAUCGGCUAACUCCGUGCCAGCAGCCGCGGUAAUACGGAGGAUUCAAGCGUUAUCCGGAUUUAUUGGGUUUAAAGGGUGCGUAGGCGGUUUGAUAAGUUAGAGGUGAAAUCCCGGGGCUUAACUCCGGAACUGCCUCUAAUACUGUUAGACUAGAGAGUAGUUGCGGUAGGCGGAAUGUAUGGUGUAGCGGUGAAAUGCUUAGAGAUCAUACAGAACACCGAUUGCGAAGGCAGCUUACCAAACUAUAUCUGACGUUGAGGCACGAAAGCGUGGGGAGCAAACAGGAUUAGAUACCCUGGUAGUCCACGCAGUAAACGAUGAUAACUCGUUGUCGGCGAUACACAGUCGGUGACUAAGCGAAAGCGAUAAGUUAUCCACCUGGGGAGUACGUUCGCAAGAAUGAAACUCAAAGGAAUUGACGGGGGCCCGCACAAGCGGAGGAACAUGUGGUUUAAUUCGAUGAUACGCGAGGAACCUUACCCGGGCUUGAAAGUUAGCGACGAUUCUUGAAAGAGGAUUUCCCUUCGGGGCGCGAAACUAGGUGCUGCAUGGUUGUCGUCAGCUCGUGCCGUGAGGUGUCGGGUUAAGUCCCAUAACGAGCGCAACCCCUACCGUUAGUUGCCAUCAGGUCAAGCUGGGCACUCUGGCGGGACUGCCGGUGAUAAGCCGAGAGGAAGGUGGGGAUGACGUCAAAUCAGCACGGCCCUUACGUCCGGGGCUACACACGUGUUACAAUGGUAGGUACAGAGGGCAGCUACCCAGCGAUGGGAUGCGAAUCUCGAAAGCCUAUCUCAGUUCGGAUUGGAGGCUGAAACCCGCCUCCAUGAAGUUGGAUUCGCUAGUAAUCGCGCAUCAGCCAUG
rnacentral:rRNA from 1 species